GUGCUCGCUUCGGCAGCACAUAUACUAAAAUUGGAACAAUGCAGAGAAGAUUAGCCUGACCCCUGCGCAAUGACUAAUAUUCCCCCGGAUGGAUUCGUGAUUCGG